rnacentral:rRNA from 1 species
AAAUUGAAGAGUUUGAUCAUGGCUCAGAUUGAACGCUGGCGGCAGGCCUAACACAUGCAAGUCGAGCGGUAGCACAGAGAGCUUGCUCUCGGGUGACGAGCGGCGGACGGGUGAGUAAUGUCUGGGAAACUGCCUGAUGGAGGGGGAUAACUACUGGAAACGGUAGCUAAUACCGCAUAACGUCGCAAGACCAAAGUGGGGGACCUUCGGGCCUCAUGCCAUCAGAUGUGCCCAGAUGGGAUUAGCUAGUAGGUGGGGUAACGGCUCACCUAGGCGACGAUCCCUAGCUGGUCUGAGAGGAUGACCAGCCACACUGGAACUGAGACACGGUCCAGACUCCUACGGGAGGCAGCAGUGGGGAAUAUUGCACAAUGGGCGCAAGCCUGAUGCAGCCAUGCCGCGUGUGUGAAGAAGGCCUUCGGGUUGUAAAGCACUUUCAGCGGGGAGGAAGGCGAUAAGGUUAAUAACCUUGUCGAUUGACGUUACCCGCAGAAGAAGCACCGGCUAACUCCGUGCCAGCAGCCGCGGUAAUACGGAGGGUGCAAGCGUUAAUCGGAAUUACUGGGCGUAAAGCGCACGCAGGCGGUCUGUCAAGUCGGAUGUGAAAUCCCCGGGCUCAACCUGGGAACUGCAUUCGAAACUGGCAGGCUAGAGUCUUGUAGAGGGGGUAGAAUUCCAGGUGUAGCGGUGAAAUGCGUAGAGAUCUGGAGGAAUACCGGUGGCGAAGGCGGCCCCCUGGACAAAGACUGACGCUCAGGUGCGAAAGCGUGGGGAGCAAACAGGAUUAGAUACCCUGGUAGUCCACGCCGUAAACGAUGUCGAUUUGGAGGUUGUGCCCUUGAGGCGUGGCUUCCGGAGCUAACGCGUUAAAUCGACCGCCUGGGGAGUACGGCCGCAAGGUUAAAACUCAAAUGAAUUGACGGGGGCCCGCACAAGCGGUGGAGCAUGUGGUUUAAUUCGAUGCAACGCGAAGAACCUUACCUGGUCUUGACAUCCACAGAACUUUCCAGAGAUGGAUUGGUGCCUUCGGGAACUGUGAGACAGGUGCUGCAUGGCUGUCGUCAGCUCGUGUUGUGAAAUGUUGGGUUAAGUCCCGCAACGAGCGCAACCCUUAUCCUUUGUUGCCAGCGGUCCGGCCGGGAACUCAAAGGAGACUGCCAGUGAUAAACUGGAGGAAGGUGGGGAUGACGUCAAGUCAUCAUGGCCCUUACGACCAGGGCUACACACGUGCUACAAUGGCAUAUACAAAGAGAAGCGACCUCGCGAGAGCAAGCGGACCUCAUAAAGUAUGUCGUAGUCCGGAUUGGAGUCUGCAACUCGACUCCAUGAAGUCGGAAUCGCUAGUAAUCGUAGAUCAGAAUGCUACGGUGAAUACGUUCCCGGGCCUUGUACACACCGCCCGUCACACCAUGGGAGUGGGUUGCAAAAGAAGUAGGUAGCUUAACCUUCGGGAGGGCGCUUACCACUUUGUGAUUCAUGACUGGGGUGAAGUCGUAACAAGGUAACCGUAGGGGAACCUGCGGUUGGAUCACCUCCUUA